rnacentral:rRNA from 1 species
UACGGAGGGUGCAAGCGUUAUCCGGAUUCACUGGGUUUAAAGGGUGCGUAGGCGGGCUUGUAAGUCAGUGGUGAAAGCCCGGGGCUUAACUCCGGAAUUGCCGUUGAUACUGCAGGUCUCGAGUACAGUUGAGGUGGGCGGAAUACAUCAUGUAGUGGUGAAAUACUUAGAUAUGAUGUAGAACACCGAUUGCGAAGGCAGCUCACUAAAGUGUAACUGACGCUGAGGCACGAAAGCGUGGGGAUCAAAC